GGAGAGCAUUUAAGGUUGGGGAGGGCUGGCAUAUCUGAGCGACAGCAGAGAAGAUGGUGUAUCCAGAGCCAUAGGAGGAAAGUGGAGAAUAGUAGGAGGUCAGUUCUGGGAGAGAACAGACGACCAGAUCCUAUAAAGAUGCAGAAAACAUUUCAAGGUUUUUGGAUCUUACACAGGGAAGAAGGUUGUUGAAAAAUUAAAAAGUGGAGCAUUAUGAUUUGACUUAAGGAUUAAAAGGAUCCCACGUUGAGAAUAGACUAGGAGCAAGAUGAGUUUCCAGCAUUAGUAGGCCAUCACAAUUGUCCAAGCAAGAGAUGAGGGUGGCUUGAACUAGAGGUGGUGGGAAACGGCUGAGAUCACAGUAUGACUUGAAGAUGUAACAUAUAGGAUUUGCCAACAAAGAAAACAGAGGAGUGAAGUGUGCCAGUACGCCUUUUGUCCUGAGCAUCUGGAAGGAUGCCCUUGUCCUUAAUUGAUAUGAGAAGAACAUCCAUGAGGGCUGGAUUUGAAGGGAAGAUCAAAAUGUUAAUUUUGAUGUUGUUUGAGAUGCCUAUUGGAAAUUUCAGUGGAAAUCUCUGCCUUAACGUAUACUUUUUGUAUGAAAAUAUAUUUUCUCUGAAGCAUAGAUAAGUUUAGUGAUCUAUGGAUAUAGCGGAAAAACAUUUGCCAGCCUACAUAAGCCACAGGUCUGCUUUAACCUCUUUCAAAAUUGACCCUCUGGGAAAGAGUGCUAUGUUGCUGGGUUGGUUUAUGCUAAUGCACUGAGUCACAUUCAGAACUCUUAUCUCACAUCUAUGUUCAGAGAAGCACUAGUCAAACAGCCGAAAGAUAGAAGCAACCCAGGUGUCCAUCAACAGAUGAAUGACUAAACAGAAUGUGGUGUAUGCAGACUAAGGAAUGUUAUUCAGCCUUAACAGGAAAGGCAGUUCUGAACCAUGCUGUGACUCUCAAGGACAAUAUGCUGAGUGGAAUCGUCAGGCUGAAACAAGCCAGUCAUAAAAAAGCAAUGCUAUUUCAGUCCACUUAUAUGAGGUGCCUAGAGUAGUGAAAUUCAUAGAUACAGAAAGUUGAAUGGCUGUAGAGUUUCAAUUUUGCAAGGUAAAGAAAUGCGAAUAUUUGAAAUGCAAAUAUACUGAAGAUAGUAAUCUGAAUGCUUAAAAUAGUUAAAACCGUAAAUUUUAUGUCAUGUGUUUUAUCUCAAUUAAAAAUGUUAAAAAUACCUCAUAUCUUGAUGCUGCUGUUCUUAUUGGUCCAUACUGAACACCUUCUCUCUUUCUUCAUUCUACUAAAGCAUAAGCAUCACUACCACAUGAUCCAUCAAUCCCACUGCUGGGCAUAUAUCUGGACAAAAUUACAGUCCAAAAAGAAACAUACAUCCCUACGUUCAUAGCAGCACUAUUAUCAAUAGCCAAGGAGGCAACCUAAAUGUCUAUCAACAGAGGAAUAAAUUAAGAUGAUGUGAUACAUACACAAUGGAAUACUACUCAGCCAAAAAAAACAAAAUAAUGCCAUUUGCAGCCACAUAGAUACAGCUAAAGAUUCUCAUACUAAGUGAAGUAAGUCAGAAAGAGAAAGACAAAUACAAUACAAUAUCACUUAUAUAUGGAAUCUAAAAUGUGGCACAAAUGAACCCAUCUGCAGAACAGAAUCAGACUCAUAGACAUAGAAAACAGGCUUGUGGUUAUCAAAGGGAAAAGGGGAGGGAGUGGGAUGGACUGGGAGCAUGGGGUUUGUAGAUUCGAACUAUUACAUUUAGAAUGGAUAAGCAAUGAAGUCCUACUUUACAGCACAGGGAACCAUAUCCAGUGUCUUGGAUAGAACAUGAUGGAAGACAAUAUGAGAAAAAAAUAUAUAUGUAUGUAUGACUGGGUCACAUUGCUGUAUAGCAGAAAUUGAAACAACAUUGUAAAUCAACUAUAUACUUUAAUAUAAAUAUAAAUUAAUGAAUAAAAUACUUCAUAAUUUGUACUUUAAUAAAAAUACAAAUCAAUGAAUAAAAAUAAAGUAAAAUGUAGCAGUCAGAUUUCCCACUGUGGCCCAGUAGGUAAGAAGCCAAUUGCAAUGGCUCAGGUACCUGCGAAUGUGUCUGUUUUUUUUGUUUUUUGGUUUUUUUCUCAAUGAAUUUAUCCAUUUAUAGUUGUACAGUGAUCAUCACAGUCCAAUUUUAUAGGAUUUCCAUCCCACAACCCCAGCACAUUCCCCCACCCCUGAAACUGUCUCCUUUGGAAACUAUAAGUUUUUCAAAGUCAGUGAGUCAGUAUCUGUUCUGCAAAGUUCAUUCUGUCCUUUUCUCAGAUUCUACAUGUCAGUGAAAGCAUUUGAUGUUGGUGUCUCACUGUAUGGCUGACUUCACUUAGCAUGAUAAUUUCUAGGUCCAUCCAUGUUGCUAAAAAUAAUGUGCAUGUUUGACCUCUGGCCUGUUACAGUAGGUUAAGGAUCCAACAUUGCCUAGGUUGCAGUCUGUGGCUUGGAUUCAAUUCUUGGCCCAGGAAUUUCUGUGUGCCAUUGGUGCAGCCAUAAAAUGAAAAUAAAAUUAAUAAAUAACUGAAAGGUAGGAGUCAUCCUCAAACUUAAUGUCAGACAUCAUUGGUCCCAGAAAAUUAUCUGUCAUUAUCUGCUGAUUAUAAAUCUCCUUGGGCUCAGACUUUAUAUCAUAUUUCUAGGGUUUUUCUUUAUCUUUGGAUUCUUUGGUCAUAACCCUUGCUGUCUUUAUCCCUAGGAUGCUCAUUUUCCAUCUCCAAAGCAAAGCUUUCCUUGGGAUAUUCUGAACUCUGCUAUCUUUAUUUUGUAGGCUAUACCCUGAAGGUCUCACCAUUUAUAUUCAAAGAGACUAUCUAGGUAUUUUCCACAUGAAUUAUGAAUUCCAAAUGAAUUAUAAGUUCCAAAUGAAUUUCUAAGUGAAAAGAAUUAUUACCCUUUCUUAGUAUUCUGAAUAUGCUUCAGUAGGUUUUAGCAUAAAAUACUAAUUUUUUUCUUCAUACCACUCGUGGAAAAUAUUAAAUCACCCUAUGCACCUAGUAGAUUAAAUAUUGAGGAAGUCUUUUUAACCCAAGUAUAUAUCAAAUGCUGCAGCCAUAAUUUUAUAUUUAUUGCUACAUAUAUAUAAGAAAAUGCAUAACUAUAUCAGCUAUGCAUAUAACAACAUUUUGUGGACCUCAUAUUCCACCAAGAGCUAGCAAAAAGGGAAAUAUUUGUGGUAGAGGUUUUGCCCUUUAGGAUCUACUAAAAAGGCAGCCAGGUGAUGAGCAGGAAGAGAAACCUGGCAUAUAAUGAUGUGGGAAGGAAAGUGAUGCAAUGCCCCAAUAAGAACUUUUUUUCAGAAAAGUAGGAAAGUUCUGGUAACAAUAGAGGGAGAAGCAAUAAGAGUUUUUUGACAGAAGAGAAAGACAGUGGCAGGUGUGAGCAAUGACAACAUUUGUGUGGGGGUGGAGAGCAGCAGGUGUGUAGACAAAAAGAAAAACAGUGACAAGGAAGCAAAAGUCAGGGCAGCUCUCUAAGUUUCUGGGCAGGAGCAAGCCUGGGUGGAGGUAGGGAAGGCAGGAGGCCCAGAGAAGGAAGAGCAGCAAGGUCAGGUUGUCUCAAUGCUCCCUUUGUAGGGCAAGGUAUUGUCUUGUUCCAUUUAUGCAUCUAUUAAUUGAAAGAGGGUUGGAUUGAGUGGCAUAUUCCAGAUGCAGGGCCAUUCUGUGGCAUAGCUCUCUCAAUGAAGGGCUUCCAAAACAGUUUUAGCACUAUAGAGAUCAAGCACUUUAAAGGUUCAUUUGAGAUGUGUGAGUGUGUGUCUAUGUGUGUGUUUUUUUGGAAGUGGGGGCCAGUCAUUGUCAUAUGCUCUAGAAUUAUUAGCCUAGGAGAACUCAGGACAUCAGACUGUGGUGGCAGCCUCAGGCCUGCAUCCUGUAGAAUACAAGGGUAGAAUCCACACAUUUGCAGCAAGCCCAAACGUCUCUUUUGUUUUUAAUUUUCUCUUCUUUGUAAAAGCAAAGAAAAAAAAAUUACUGUGCUCUCCUACUGUAAG
rnacentral:lncRNA from 1 species